GGCAUAUACAAACAAGUCAAAAUACUCUAGUCCUCAGCUUGCCUUGAUUGCUGCUUUCCUGCCAGAGGUCUCCUUGAAAACAGAGAACCAUUAAGGUCAGAGACAGCAAAAAAGCCUCAAAAGAGUGAUAGAUGAGAUCACCUGUGAGACAGACAUGAAUUUGCAUCCUUUUCUCUAUGGAACUCAGCUCCUUUCAUCUUUUCUGCUUCCUGACUUCCAUGAGCUGAGAAGCAUUCUUUCCCAUACCCUCCCACAAUUAAGUUUCUGCUUUGGAGCCAGCCAUCAAUGGACUGAAUCCCCUGAAACUGUUUGAAGGAAGGAAAAGAGCGAUUCUCAAGAUACAUGACUGAAGGAAGUUGUUCAUAUUUAUCUCACUAAAGAAAAGAGACAGAUUUUUAAAUACCUUGGAACCUUGAGGAAGGGAGAUCUAUAGUUCAGGCUCAUUCAACCACAGGUGAGCUUUUUCUCCUCGAUCAUUGUGAUUCUUUGUGUCCAAUGCAAAUGAAGAUAUAAGAACACAGAUCUUCACAACCCAUCUCUGUCUCAGGACUUUUAGGAUCUGGAUUUUUUGGGGGGGUGGUACCGGGGAUUGAACUCAGGACCUUGCACUUGAGAAGCAGGUGCUGUGCGGUGCCACUGACCUAAAUCCCCAGGGAAAGAUCUGUUUUGAUUUUACUUGAAUAACACAUUUUUCUAUUAAAAAAAAAACUAUAAUGGCCAAAAAAAACAGUAUUCUAUAGAAGCAUUUGCCAAUUGUCUGUUAAGAAAAAAAAAAAAAAACACCUGAGAGACAACACUGUGUUAUAAGAUAAUACCAUAUAGAAUUACAAAGAUUGUUUCUUUGAUUCAAGUGUUUCAAAAUGCUAUGAAAAAAGAAUCUUGAUAAUAUAACAAACACAGCAAAAAAUUAAUUGGAAAAUAUCUGCCCCCUUACACUGUCACUUUUCUAGCCUCAAUCUCUUUCUACUACCAGUAGCAUCUUACAGAGUAGAAAAUAGGAACAAAAGGCUGAGACCAGAUGCUAUGACAAAAGAUCAUAGGAUCUGGCAUACUUGUGAAUGUGUGCCAGGUACAAUGGUUUUCUGUGUUAUUUGAAGGAAGGUUCAUUAUAGAACAGAAUUAAAAUUAUCCCUCACACACGUAGGUUAGAUGAAGCAGAACAUACUAUUUCUCUGAAUUAUUUCAUAGUCUACUAAGACCUAUCCCUCCCUCUGGUGCCUCCUGACAAUUUGUGAACUGUUGCCAGAUUCUCUCCUAAUCAAUUUUCUUCUUGGCUUUUGAAAGACAGAAGCCCACGUCACCUUCCAGACCUAGUUCUCUGUGCUUAUUGUCACAUAUUGCCUUAUAAGGUAUGUGCUGUGAGACUACAUGCUAGGGAAGAGAGGGCUCACCAUGUAGUCUAUCCAUCAAAUGAAGGUUUAUAAAAUAGAAGCCUAUUUAUAGCUGGUGAUCUAAUCUCUCAUCACAUCAUUUUCCUUCCUAGAAAAUCCCACUUGGAUUUCUCUCCUUUUCCCUUUCCUUGCUAAAUGAGUCUUCCUUUUUAAAUGUUUCUUUCCAUUGUCUUAUCUUUCCUUUCUUUGAAAAGAAAGUUAGGUUUUUAUUCUCAUUUUAUCCCUGUUCAUAUUGUUUCCUCUUGAAUAAAUGUUUUGUUGCUUUGUAUCUCACCACUAAGUUCAGAAAUUCUCCACACCAUUUUUUAAUGAACUAAUUACAAUUCUGACUUUAAUUUGGUCCAUUAAAAUUUGUGUUUGGUUACCUGAAGUUCCUAGACUGACAAAUUGUGUCACUUCUAGCAGCUACAAAUGCCAUUGAAAAUAAAAAUUUGGUGUCGUUCCAAUCAGUCAGCUCUCCCUUCUCCUUUUUAAUUAUUUAUUUUAUUUUUAAGCCUCAAACUUCUGUCAUUAUGAAGAGGGUUGUUCAUUAUUCCAAAAAACUGCAAAGAACAGGAUUGCUACCCAAGCAGAAGAGAAUCUGUUUUAAGUGGUGAGACAUUUGGGUUGACUGUGGAAGAAAAAGGAGCCUCAGACCUUCCCUUCACUGAUAGAAAUGCUUUAUUUUAGAAUUCUCAGACCUGGUCCUUAUUCAUUUUACUCCAAAAAUAGAAAGUAGUGACAUUUAUAAAGGAGAAAUGAGUUCUACUUUGUUUCUUUAUAAUCCAAAUGCUUUAAAAUUUAAACACUUCAUGAAAAAAGAUUAAAAGAGUAUAUCUAUUAACACUUAUAUAGUUAAUUUAGUGGAUUUGAGUCUGUAGAAUGUUAAAACAAUAAGAUUGUGUUGGCAGAGUCAUUCUAAAUAUUUAUUUAGCCCCAUCUACCUAUAUCACUGUAAUUGGUGUUUUUGUGAGAUACAAAGAAAGCAGAAUUCAAUUCAAUUUAACAAAUAUUUAUUAAAUUACUAUUAUGGCUAAGACACUGUGUAAAUAUCACAUGGAAUACAAAUGCAGCAAAUAGAGUCUAAUAAAAGUUUCAGUUUGGUUCUGUUUGUUUUAGCUAAGAUUUAUUGAGCAGCUAGGGAUUGUACUAAGUUUUAAAAUGCAACAUAUUUUUAUGUACACAAAGGAACUUACAGUCUGGUAAACUAGGAUUCAUGAAAUCUUAAAAGUAUAUGCAAAUUGUGUGUGUGUGUUCAUUCAUAUUUUCUUUUUAGAAGAGGAGCAUUAUCUUCAGAAUUCUCAAAGAGUUCAGAAAAGCUCACAGGUGCAAUACAGAGUAGAUUCUCAGAGCUGGGUGGGGCAUUACACAACAGACUCUCUGCCUCAGGUCCUUCAAAUACCUUCGUGGUGGUUGGGCCUCGGCUGUGUGCUGAGAUAGCCACUAAUGAUGUAUUCAUAAGGCAAAAGAACAUGAGCCUCAAGAUCAGAAAGCAAUUUUCAAAGUUGUCGACUAUUAAAUGCUAAAGGAGAGUCCAGAAUAGUCAGAAUUGAAGGUACAGGCUUUUGGUUCCCCAAAUGAAGGCAACUCUGACUGGUGCCUUUAAGGAUGUGUAGGACUCGCAUAAUUGGAACUAAAGACACCAUAUUUGUCUAGCUUAGGACACUCUUAAACAAAGUGACAAGAGGAAGUGAGCAAAACAUAGUGAGGAACAUCAGCUCCUUCAGAUGCUUCUGCAACCGCAAGGUUUCUUGAUCCAAGCUUUUUACAACCUAAUCAUCCUUAAACCCACCUUAAAGUUUCCAUGCUUGUUCCACCAUUGUAAACUAGGUUAGGAAAUAGAGAUUAUGCCUGCAUUUGUGUAUGUGAAUUUAUAAACAUAAACACACCCACUCAUGGUAGCCUCACAUGUGCCUAUGUGUGCUAACGUAUGUAUGCUGACAUCUCUCACACAGCUAUUUUGAUCCUCUUUUGAUCAUGGCUGAUUAAUUAAUGUGUUUAUAAAAAGCCUACUUUUGCUAAGCCUAGUUUAAGAACUAAAAAUCAAAAAUAGUUUCCAGAAUCAAAAGCAAGUGUCUAUGAGCCCAAGAGAGAGAAAGGAAGCACUGCAAAGAGAAUGGCAUAAAUAAUGGCAGGGAGGUAGGUAAUCUGUGGCCCAUCCUAGAAAUGGAGAGUAUUAUACUUAAACUGCUGAAAAAGGAGUCCAGCAAGAGAUGAAGUUGAUGAAGUAGGAUCGCAAGGAAAACAAUGUGUACUGUUUUCUAACACUUAGGUUUUAUAUAUCAGAGUAACUAUCAAAGGUUUUGAAUAGAAGAAAAAUGACGCUGCUAUAUUUAGAUUUUUUUUUUUUUUUGGUGAUGGUGGUGGUGAUACUGAGGAUUGAAACCAGUGCCCUCACAUUGAACUUCAUCCUCAUUUUUUGUAUUUUGAUAUAGGAUUUCCUUAUGUUGCUAAGUUGCUGAGGCUGGGCUCAAACUUAUCAUCCUCUUGUCUCAGCCUCCCACAAUACUGGCAUUGAGGCAUGUGCCACCAUGCCUGGCUAGAUUUAAAUUUUUAAAAAUCUUGUGGCAGUAGUGUGAACAAUGGGAUAGGGCAGGUCAGAUUAAAAAUUAGGAAAAGCAUAUAGAGUAUUACAAUAGACUAUGUAUUGAAGAUGUCACAGGAGAACAAAAUAGGCAGAGUUGAACUUAGUUAGGCUUGGUCAUUUAUUAGAUGUAGGAAAUUAAAGAAAGGGAAGAAUCUAGGAUAAUCAUCAGGGUAAGUUUAGGUAGGUGGUGGUUUUGCUGAGCCAGGCAAAGAACACCAAAGGAGAAUGUGUAAGUCAAGUCAGGAUGAAACUACUUAGGACAGGAUGAAUGUGAGAAAUCUGAGAAAGUAAAGAUGCUAAAUAGACUGCUUUAUGAACUGGAGGAUGGAAGGACCAAUAAAUCAGGAGUCACAAAAGUAAGUUCAGCAGAAUAAUCUGGACCAUCCACUGUAAGCUUAGGAUAGUUUUGCCAUAUUUAAAUGGUUCAAAAAAAUCAGAAGAAUAAUAUCUUUUUUGAGAAGGGUGUCAUAUGAAAGUAUCUCAAACUGGAUGGCUCAAACAACAGAAGUUUAUUUUGGUAGUUCUGGAAGCCUGAAGUUCAAGAGUUGACAAGUUGUUGGCUGGGCUCUUUUUUUCUAAGGCCUAUGUGUUUGACUUGUAGGUGACAGUCUUCUCUCUGUGUUGACACAUGGUUUUCCUUCUGUACCAAUCUACGACCUAGUUUCCUUACUUGUAAGGACACUAGUCAUAUUGUGUCACCCUGAUAAUUUCAUUUUAACAUAAUUAUUUGGUUUUUUUACUUCCACUUUUUAUUGAUGUCACAAAUAUAUUACAUUUUAUGUUUUUACCCUUCAAAUUCUAUGAGAUAGGAUUGCAGGAAUACAGGUUACUGUAUUUGUCAACAUAUCCAUGUGAGCUGGAGAAACAUUUUCAUAUGGCUUUGUGUUGCUGUCUACCAUCCUUACAUUUCAACUGAAAGGACUCUUUAAGCACAUCUUAUGUAGGUCUACUAGUAAUGAACUUCCUCAGCUUUUGUUUAUCUCAGAACAUCUCAAUCCCCCUUCAGUUUCCAAGGGCAGAUUUCUGGGUAUGUAUUAGUUUUCAGUGUUUUUCUCACAGCUCUUUCACUGUAUCUCUCCUUCUGCUCCGCAAAACAUUUUGUUGGAAAAGACAUUAAUGACCUCAUGCAGGCUCCCCUGUAAGUGACAGGUUGCUCUUUUCUUAACAAUUUCAAGAUUUUCUUUUUGGCUUUAGACAAUCUAAUUUUGAUGUGUCUUAGUGUUGUUCUCUUUGGAUUUAUUAGAGUUAAAAUUUCUUGAGUUUCUUGCAUUCAUAUGUCAGUUCCUUCCUUCACAUUUAGAAGGCUAGGGACCAUUAUUUCAUCCACUAAUUUCAUAGGUUUGUUUCUCUAAGUUCAAUUUCUAGAAUUUGAUUUUGUUUCUUUGGACUGAGUUUCCUUGUUUCUUCAUAUGUGUUAUAAUAUUUUGCUAGUAUUUGGGCAUUUUAAAAGGCAGUCAUCCCUCCCAGUCUUCAGAGACUCAGAGAAAGACCUUUAUCAUCCAGCUUUGGACGCUAGGACCUCUCAAACACUGUGGAGACCCCGCCCCUUGGUGUAAUCCUGCAUACCUGCAACUCUGCCAUGUACUCCCCUCUGUUUUGAGCAGAUUCCCAUCUCUGGAGCUGCCAAUCCUACCCAUGCAAGUUGGCAGCCAGCUCCUUGCAAACCUCCUUAGACAAACAAAAGUGUUGGAUGUGUGAUCUGCACUUUUGUUUCCAUCCUAAGGAGGAGACCUGCUGUGUGGGGCAUGGGUGUUUUUCAUGUUUGCUUCAUGCUCGGGAGGAAUACGGAUAACUACUGUAGAAACCACAAGCUCUUCCACUUCAUUGUUGGACUCUUAUCCUGCAUUUACAAUGGCCAGGGUGCUGUGGCUUCUCAUUGGUCUCUACAGUGUUACAGGGGCCUUCCUGCUCUUAGGUUGUUAACUUUGUCUACUUACAGGGAAAGUAGAGCUUGUAGUUUCUUAGUCUGCCAUCUUACUCACCUUAUGUGUGUGUGUGUGUGUUUUUUUUUUCCUUAAAUUUUUUUAUUUGUACAUUUUAGGUAUACAAUACAUUUACAUUUAUCAUUGGGUGCUUGUACCUGUACAUGAUGUGUCUUGGUUUUUAUUUUUUCCCCCAUUACCUGUGCACCCUUCACCCCCUCCACCCUUCCCUAUUUACAUAGACUUCAAUUCCAUUUUUUUUCUUUUCUCAUAAUUUUUCCUUCCCUUCUUUCCUUUUCCCUUCCCCUCCCACCACCCUUACCCUUUUGGACCUUUACCUGUUUCAAAGUAUCAAUUAUUCUUUAUUAAUCCUUUUAAUCCUUAUUUACACUUUCAGUUGCUCACACUAGAGAAACUAUUCAGUAUUUACACAUGUGUGUCCUACUUAUUUCAUUUAAGAGUAUGGCCUCAAUAUGCAUCCAUUUUGCUAUAAAUGACUCUAGUAUAACAUAAUUAUCUCUUUAAAGAUUCUGUUACCAAAUGUAGUUGCAUUCUGAGCUAGUAGGAUGGCAGUAUAUGCAUUUCAGAGGGAAGUAAGUCAGGCCAUAACAUACAAGUUUUAUUGGAAUGCAGCCAUAUACUCAUUGAUGUUUUACAGUAUUGUGUAUGGUUACUGUAGUACAACAAUAGCAAAGUUAAGUAGUUGUGACAGUGAAAAUAUGGCCUUCAAAGCCUAAAUUAUCUAAUAUUUGCCCUUUCCAGAAAAUAAUUGCUAUCUUUUACUUUAGAUAACAGGUGAGUUGAUGUUGUCUCAUUAGAGCUGAUAAUAGAAAUUAGGAGAGUACUAAGGAAGACUUAUGUAAAUUAAAAAUUAAAAAAAAAUGAAAGAGGGUAAGUCUUUCACCAUUACAACACAAUAGGUCAAGAAUUAGAGACAGAAUAAGCAGAAAAACAGUAUGUUGAACCACAUAUCCUGUAUCAUACAAAAAAGAGAGAUAGAUGCCAGAUCAAAACAAUAAUGUGAAAUACAGAGGGUUCUGAUAUCAUGGAAAUCAGCAUAUCACAAAAACUAUGUAUAGAGAGGUAAAUAUAGUAAGAAUUUAAAAAUGACUUUUGGAUUUAUUAGUGACCUGUUUGCUUUGAAGGGAACUUAUAUACAUAUUUUAUACAUAUAAAAAUGUGAUACAUAUCACUGCAGUUUUGCCUUUUAUAUGACUUGUAGGAUGUUCUUGAAGAAAAAAAUCAAGUGUUUUCACUAUAAGUAUUUAUGUUCUUAAAACUAUUCCUGUGAAACUGUCUCCAGAAUAGUAUUCCAUUCAGAGAACAAAGUGAAGUAAAAAGAAAAAUUUCAAAUACAUUCUAAAGCCAGUUAUUGGGUACACAGUUCAAGGAGUGAGAUUUGUAAAUAUUUAUGUCUUUAUAUGUCAAGUUUACCCCAAAAAAUCAAAUUUUCUAUGGACUUUUUGCUGAGAAAAUUAUUGUACUUUGUAAUUUAUUGCUUUAAUGUUACUAUCAAAUCCUUAACCAUUCCUACCAAAACCAACCACUUUCAUGCAAAAAGUGGAUCCUACUAAACUUCCAUUGCCAUCACUUCAUGGAAUUGUUGCUCAAAAGAAAUGGCACCAAGAACUUUAGCACUACUAAUAGAAGAAAGCUUUGGAAUGGAAAAGUCAGCCACGAUUACGAACCAAGGGUUUUAAAAAUGAUUAGAUCAAAACAGAAACACCGUUUUUGGGCUUUCAUUGUCAGCAAGGAAGACCUUUGCAUGCUUGUUAGCAUUGCUAUUAAAUCAAACAUUCAGAUUUAGAGUAUGUAAGCAUAUUGGUAAAAAAGGAACUGUCAUGAAACUUUAAUAUAGUAAAAAGAAACAGUGAACACAGAAUGCCUGUUGUUUUUUCAGUGUAAUUUUAUCACUACUAAACUUAUUAUGCUUCUUUAUUUUUAUUUCAAAAAAGUUCUUCCUUUGUAAUUACUAAUAUCAUGAUCAACAUUUUUGUGAUAGUCAUUUACUAUAUUUGCAAAAAAUCAUUUUAAGAAGUUUUAAGUCCUUCCUUCAUUUCUUGGUAUAAUAUUUGUAAUUUUUCUUUUAGUAUUUUAGUAUUUCUCUUCUUAGCCAAGAAAAAAAAAUAUUUAUAGGAAAAGAAUGGAGACUGUUCCUGAGAAAACAUCCAUUUGAGGUAAGUGCUCACUCUGAUGCACAUUCCAAUAUUUAUAUUGGGCUGGACUUCUAAUUACUUUAUCAUUUCAGGAGCAAUAGAAUAGAGUGGUCUGCACCGAUAAAAAUAUUUCCAUUUGAAAGACUAACAACUCCCUAUUUAGAAAUGGUGCCUGCACAUUAGAGUACUGGAAAUCGAUUUUUAAUUAGGUAUUUUAAUAAGUAAAUGCAAAUUAUAAUGUACAUGGUGUUCAUAGCUUGCAUAAGAGCAUAAUUAUAAUAGCCAAGCUAGUUUUUCAGCCACAUUCUUCAGUAUUUAAUGACUGUUGUUGGGGUUUUUUUCAUAGAAAAAUACUUGCUGUCAAGGGAAAAAGUCUAGAUUUCUUGAAAGCUUUAACAUAAGACAAAUUUCCUAUUUAAUGUCUUGACACUAACUCUACCUUAAAGAAAACACUUCUAGUAUCCAUCUGUUAAAACAUUCUCUCAAAGAAAACUAUUUCCUAGAAAACUACACCAACAUCUUUCUGGUCCGAGAUAAUUUUGCUACAUGAAAACUGCAUUGAUAUAACUUUUAGUUGCAUUUUAUUUUCAGGAAAAUAUAUUCCUGGCUGGUGGAGGAACUCAAUAAAAGAAGAAAAGAAAUGAGAAAAGAAAAAGAAUGUGGUUAAAAUAAUCUCAAUACUACUCUCCACUUAAGUAUUUGUUUUAAUAAACUCAUUUGCUUUAUGGUUCUUAAGUUUGAGUAGGAAUGUUUAAUCUAGCAUUACUAAGCUCCCCAAAAGGGAAGCAAAUAUUUUAUGAGGAUCCAGUAAUUUUUCACAUGGCCAGAGUUUACACACCAGGUGUUCAGCUUACAAAGCCCUUGCAGGGUAGUCAAGACUGGACUCAGACCUCGUAGUUGCUGUAACCUUGUAUUCCUAACUCAAUAGCCAGAGGUGAGAACUGAAGCCCACAUUCUGUUCAAGAUGUAUAUGUAAGACACAACUGCUGUGUUCAGCCAAUUUUCCAGUUAAAAUUCAGGGGUACUGGAAAUUGAAUGAGCAGUUUCACUUUUUAGCAGCUUUAAAGAAGGAAAAUUAAUCAGUUUUCUAUGUGUAUCAUAUUUUUUUUCAAUUUGGGGGUGGGCUACACUAGGAACAAGGUAGAAUUUGACUCAACCUGUGAGUUACGUAUUUCUGGCUUAUUUGUUUGUAUGCUUGCUCUCUACCUGGACCCCAUCCCUCAACACUCUGCACACACAUGCUCCACUGACACUGCUUGGGAACCAAGCAGAAAAAAAAUGUCCAGCCUAAGAAACUUGCUUCCUCAGUUAAGUAACAUUUUCAGUUUUCCUAAAUAAGUUUCCUUUCAUCACUUUUAAUGAAAAAACCGUAUGUCCCCGUGGUUCACAUAAUAGAAAAUGUAAUCAUACACAUCUGGGAAGAAUGAAGAAUGCCAAGGCUGGCCCAGGUGCCAAAUUAUGUUACCGUAAUUUUCCACACCUAAUUCAGGAAAAAAAAUGUUAAAAUUUAAAAUAAUAGGGUCUAAAAACUAAAAUGGUUCCAUUUCAUAGAAGUUGAAAUAAUAACUUUAAAAUCUUUUGCACUUUUUUAAAGUGCUAUCAAUUAAGCCUCUAAAAUUUGGAGGGAUUUUUGCUUCAUUCCCCCCCUUCCUUGUGGAGGGAGAUAGGAGUAAUAUAGACAGGCCCUUCAUGAAUUGUGAGCGCUGCCAUUUUUGUUUUUCUUUUUUCCACUCACAGCUUUCAGUCUUUUCAUCUUCUCCAACCUUAUCCUUUCCCCUAUUCCCUAUGUCCUUUUUUGCUACUGAUAAUUUUUUUUAAUUUAAUGCAAAUAUAUAUUAAUUGGAGCCCCCAAAGAUCUAAAUGCAUUUUCACAAAGUGCUAAAAUAAAAGCAUUGAUAGGCUGGGUGGAAGGGAGCUCUUUCUUUACCUAAGUGAAUUGUGGUUGUCAUAUUUACAUAUUAAAGUCAAGUUUCUGUCUGUGUGGAUUGUUGGAUCACAGGAGAAUGACUGGCUGAAUGGAGCAGCUGUGCUUAAAAUAGAUCAUUAUUUGGAGUAUCCUGGCUGAAGGUAGCAAUAAAGGUUAUCUAGCCGGAAGGGCAGGUGUCCACAGGUGGCAGAUGAAAACAAGACCUCAGGAUGCUGUGGAAAGGGAAGGUGAAAGCUGUUUCAGAUGUGAGCCCCCAAAAGCAGGAGCUGACUGUUGCAGAGCUGCUUGUCUCACAAGGGAGCAGUAGUAUUAACUUCUAUGUUUAAGUUCAGUUUUUGUUCUUUUACACAUAUCUGAAAUAUCUAGAUGCUACAUUACAAUGCCCUCAUUGUAACUUUAAAUUCUAAAAGAAAUACUUACGCCUUAUCUGUUUCCAAAACAAUGUGAGUUAAUAGCAUUACACUGUUUUACAUUUUGACCAAUGUAUUUCUGAGGAAGAAUCAAGGCAAAUUUCAGGAAUAGAAACUAAGUUGUAAAGAACUCAAAGCCAUGCAACACAAUUUGUGGGUGGGUUUGUUUUUUGUUUGUUUCUUGUUUUGUUUUGAUGCCUACCAAGUGUCAAGCCCUGUACCAUGUAUAGUGAAUUGAAAGAAAUAGUUAAGGCACAUUAAUCUUAAAUAGCUCACAGACACACGAUAAAAUGAAAUUAGGAGGUGGCAAGGACACCAUUUAGCCCACAGUAGAGACCAACUGCCAAUGAUUAAAUAACUUGUUUGAACUCAUAGUCAGUUAGAAUUUUAAUGUAAGUAUGUCAACUCCUAGUCCAUGACUCUGUCUUCUAUUCUACUAUUGAUACUACAGUGUGCCCUAUUAUAGCUCAUAUUUUGCUUUCAAGUAGGUAGCGUCUAAAGUGCUGACGUGUCAAUAAGGAAUCUGUUUUAGCAAAUGGGGCAACUACUGUCUUGGGAAAUUGUAACAUUACAGUACCACUUUCAGAAAUGAACUGAAUUUUAAUAGAACUUAGAAAACUGAGUUACUCCUCUUUAAGCAAACAUUUUGAGGUAAUUAAAAAGCAAAGCCAAGCUGGCAUUCCUGUAACAUUACUCAACAUAACCCAGUAGUUGCUUUUAAACAAAUCCCAGGAGCAUGGUUUGUAAGAAAAAAAGUUAAAUAGAAUGCUUUGUCUUCAUUGUUAAAAUUCCAGUUUUCUUCACGUGCAAUAAGGACAUGAACAUGGUUUUGCUUAUUGUCAUAAUAUAGUAAAGUCAUAAUGCUGAUAUCAUAGUACCUAAAACAAAUCAAAACAAAGAUUAAGUGGAAAUAACAGAAAACCUAAACUCAGGAAGAAAUCUCAACUCUACUUCCCCUGAUGCCAUUUUAGUUCAUACAGUAAUUAAUAUAGGAUUUAUAAGAAUAGUGCUCAGAUGCUACAAACUAUUCAAUAAAUUUUACAACCACAGAUAAUGUUAAUUCUGUUAUAUUAAAUUAUCGCACCAUCGAUAAAUUGAAAAUUUAUUUUGCUGUCCUUAAAAGACUUCAUUCUUGAGAAGGUAAAACAGUUGUACUAAGUAUCCAAAUUGUUAUGCCAAUUUAUUUGUUUUUAUUCUAUAAAAUAGAUCUAUCCCUUAUUUAUUGUUUCAUUGAGAGAAAAUAUAUAAUCAUAUUUCCUAGUAUAUGUGUGAGAUUGUAUAGAAAUAUUCCUAAAGGAACAUGGACAUACAGAAAGUGAGUUUCUCCAUGGAAAAGUAAAUUGUAAAAGCAAGAAGUAAAGGAUCAGAGAAGAAACAUAACAUACAGUGUCUCCUGGAAAGAGACAGAGUGGCUCAUGGGCUUUACAUCUAAUCUAAACACCACACACACAUACACACAUAAACACAAACAUCCAAAAGGAACUUUUGCAUCAGGAAGGUGAUCAUUUUGCAUAGAAAUAGUCACAGAAGCAGCCAGCUGUUAGCAACACCCAUUCAAAUAAUCUGGUGCACAAAGAGACUCAGCCUUCAGCCUGUAAGUGUUUCCAAUCAUGUGGAUGGCAAGGCUAUUCUUCCAGUGCUGGAUGAAAGUGAUGGAAAUUGAUGGACUUCACUGAUUUCCAGUCCCACUAGCCAGCUGCUUACUUUGUGGGAAGGGUUCCUGAAGCCACCCUAAAAUUAAGUCAUUUAAUAUUUAAUUAAUUUACUUUUUUUCCUUGAGCUUCUACCUUCAAAUAACAUCAUCUUGACUAUAAUUUAGUCCCCCACGUAGCUUGACUAUGGAGAUUGAAUAUGCUAAUAAAGCCAAUAUAGUAUUCAAGUUCAUAUGAUUGUCCUACUUCUAAUUGCAGUCUGUCCCUCAGACUUGUAUGCAUACUAAUUAUGAUGAGGAAUUUUAUUAAAACUCUUUACAGAUAACAUGAUGGCCUUCAGAGGGUGUUUUAUCUAGUGCUCCCUGCUGCAGGAGGCUUUCCCUUAGAUAAAAUCCCAACUAAGCUCAACAAUGAUUUGUAAGAUGCUCUCUCCAGUAUAUUUCUAAGAAGUUUUUCUCUUUCUUAUUCUUAAACAAGAGAAACACAUCUAAAUAGCUUAAAGUCAACCAAAAAACAUCAUAUAAGGCAAAAAAAUCAUUCUUUAAAACAUAAAUAUACAUAUACACAAAUUAUUACUUUUAAGAAUUUAAAGAUUUCAUUCAAUUAACACAGAGGCAUUUUCACUGUAGAGUAGAUGUUGUGCCCUAUAAGUAAUUCAAUUUACAUGUAUUAUUAGUUCAUAUUCUUAAAAUGAUUCAAAUGGAUGUGCUGCUGUUGAAUGUUAAGUUUUCUAACUUCCUGAAGGCUUGCUAUUUAUUUAUCAUUAAUCUUCAUCUAAAAGUGAUUUUUGUUUCUGUAACCUAGUUUUGGAAUUCCCUCAGUAAGUAUAAAGCUUCACAAUAGGUCCUUUAACCUCCAUUUUCAACAAUAAAUAACACUUAUCUCUUUGUUUUAUACACAUUAUAUGGAAUUAGGACCCCCUAUGGAGACAUUAGAUUAGGAAUUAUAAAACCAAUGUGGCAUGCAGUCAUUGUCCUAAUGUUUUCAAACCAUCAACAAAGAAUGAAGGAAAAAGGCAGCCAGGCCCUGACCUACCAUGAGGGACCACAUUAUACAGCAGGGCAUAGCAAUAAGAGUCACUAACUAGACUGCCUGUGUAAAGUUAGAUAAGGGGUAAGCUUAAUGUUGAGAAAAUCUACAAAUAAUCAUGCAGUUCACCAAGCAAGGUAACACUGCACCCUGUGGGGUCUGAAUCAGAUGACUCAGUAUGCAAAGAAAAAUAUUUGUAUUUAACUGAAAUUUAAUUUAGUUUCACAUUCUUACUAUAGGUUAAUCUUCCUGGAAAGUAGGUCACUAAAUUGGUAGUGUUUUGAAGUGUUAAUUUCUUUCACCAUGUCUGUCAUGACGGUGAAUCAACUUCUGUAGUUUAUAAUGUAAAUCCACACUGAUCUAAAAUAAUUUGAGGGACUAAUUCCAUGGUGAUCAAUAAAAUGGCUAAAAUGAAGUGUACUGUUUAACUGUUAGGAAGAGGAUUUUAAAUAAAAGUCCUUCAAAACCUAAUUUAAUGAGAAAGGAUUUGUUUGUAAUUAGAACCAUCACUUUUAAAUAUGUGCUAAUAACUGUCUCUAGACAAAUAUUCUCUAAAGUUAAAUAUACAUGUCUCAAUUGACACUUUAUUUAAUCAAAAAAGUUAUUUUUUUCUUUCUAGAUGCUACCCAGGAAAUCUCUGAAUCAACUCAGACCCAAGUUUUCUAACUCAUUAAUGACUUUGGAGCACAUAGUAGAUUAAGGGCAUCCGUAGCAUACGUCCAUCUGUAUAAGCAGAUAUGAUACAAAAUAAAUUAGAGUUUUCUAAAUCCUUGAAAGAUGCAUCAAUUUUUGCAUCCUUCAUAAGAGAAAUUUUCACUAUUACUUUUAUUGUUACCAGGUUAAUUUUCCGCACUUCUUGUAGCAUUGUUAAGUGUAGAGGCAGGUAGUGAUGUAAGUAUGGCUGGUUAGAAGAAUUAUUUUUCUUCUUUUUAUUGUACUGGGUACUGAAUCCAGGACCUCUACACUGAUCUGCAUCUCCAGACUUCCCCCACCCUUAGUGAACCAGGGUCUCAGUAAGCAGCUAAAUUGCCCAGAUUGGGCUGGAAUUCAUGAACUUCCUGUCUCAUCCUGCCAGAGUGCUGAGAUUAUGCCCUGAGCCCACAUGGCUCAGUAGAAAUGUUUCUCAUCCAACUGACAAAUAUACUCUGAAACAGUUGAGCUCCUAAAUCAACCCUUUAACUCAUCUUUCGUAAGAGCCAAUGAAUAUCCCAGUUCAUGUUGGCAAUUCAAGGAGUUUUUAUAAGCUGGAAAAGAUUAAGAGACGCAGCUCAGGUUUCAGGGCUAGUAUUCAACAUACACUUACUUUACCCAAUGAAAAGCUAUUUGUCUUUAGAAUCUCAAAGCAAGUACAUGAUCUGUCCUCUAUCUAAGUGGUAUAUAUGUUCUGUGGUGUUGAUAAGAGGAACUACUAUUUAUUGAAAAGCUCUUAUGUAUCCAGAAAGCAAUAGGAGCUUCACACAAGUAAUCUUAUUUUAUAUCCACAAUGAUUCUUCAAGGUAGAUAGUGUCAGCCCACCAAUUUCAUUCAAAAACUACAGAAACCAAAAUUAGAACACUCAGCUUGGCUCUAGGGUGAAUAGAGAUAUUAGCCAUGUUCUUUGCACUGUGGAGCCUCUAAGGUAGUGGGGUUGAACCAAUAGUGGUUGUAAUGCUACACAGGCUUCUGUUUCAGGAGUUACAUACCCUUGAAUAACAGAUCAAAGAGAAAGAGAGAAGUAGUUAUACAGUACUAGUUGAGGUAAUAGUUAUCCCUUCAUGUACCACCCAAGGUGAUUAUGUUCUGUUUUGAAUCACUCUGUAUGUAUAAUUAUAUAUCAUGUGCACCGAUGAGGAAUGAAAUGUGAAGUUAAGAUUGUUUUGUGUUCUCAUCACAAAGUAUGGUUAUAUAUGUGAGUGAUUGUAAAUAUAUAGCAUGUAUCUAUAAGGAUAUAUACAGAUAAUGUUUACAUUUUUAAGAAAACUAUUACAUUAAGAUACAUUGUUGUUGGUCCUCCUCCCCCUCUUCAAACACACGUAUGCCAUUAUCCUUACCACUUUACGAAGCAAUUCUCUACGUCCUCUUUCAUGAGUGUCUUUACAAGUUUUAAUUUAAAAACACAGUGAAUGCUACUGCUGAUUGCGCACCAAUAGAAAGGCAGGGUCUUUACUAUGUGUCUUCAUCACCUUAUUCAUGAGAUGACACCGUGCAACUUCUGGCUCUUCCCAAAAGUUAGAAUGACCGUGACAGGUAAAUGUUUUGAAUUGAUUCAAGGCAUUGAAGCAGCCAUGACACCACAACUGAGGAAAGAGAAUUUCCAGAACUGCUUCAGAAGGUUGCAAGAACUAUGGAAAAAGAGUGUCCAAGUCAAGGGCGAGUAUUUUGAGGGGGAUUAAAGUAGUGCCUUUUGCUGUGAUAAUUUUUUAAAUUUAAUUUACCAUCUUUUUCAAUCACAUGCAAUAUGUGUGUGCCAAUGUAAGGAAAAUUCUGGAAAUCAUUCUGAUUAUGUUAUUAAUUAAUACACUAAAAGCCACUAAAACAGAAUAGCUUAUAUUCAUAGAUCUACCAGUUACAUCACAGCCAAAAGAAAGUUAAAUCAGUAGUGAUUAGAUUAACAACACUGAAUUACCUUACUUAAUCCUGAUCUAAGAGUAGUCUAAUUUCCAUAUUGUUACAAAGAGAGUACUUCCAUUCUUAAAACAAAAUCCUUUACUUUAGCAAAGCUUAGUCUCUUAAAUACAUUGGUAUUUAGGUAAAAUAUGGUAUUUAGGUUAAAAUGAUACUAUGAUAAUCUAGAAAUCAGCACCUCUAAAGUGAUAAAAUUAGUCAUGCCAAAGUGCUGAGAACAUGACUACUGGAUGUAACCAUAUGCAACCCACUCGGUUAUCAAGUGCUCCGACCACACACGCCACAGAUCCUCACCUCACUACAAACAAAAUCAACAGGAGUUUCUAAUUUUUUCUAAUUUUUAAAAUUAAAUUUCUAAUUUUUUCUAAUUUUUAAAAUUCGAUGAUAACUAUACUAUAUUAGUUUCUAUUUCUGUAUUUAUUUGAAGUUUUCUAUAACGGUCUUUAAGAAUGUUAAAGCAAUAUAUAAAAGUGAGUAUGGUUGUCCUUAUAUGUAAUAUGUAUAAAAAUACUUUUCAUUGCAAAAAAAGAAGUGAUGUCUGAACCAAACACUGAAAGCCUCAGAACAAGGACAAAGCUUGUUUUUUCAGGCUCCACAAUGAGUAAUGCAUAGUGCAAGAUAGCAGGUCUUAGUUCCUUCCUGUUGUUUACCAUUUCCCAGCACAGACCCUCUUCCUAGGCCUCUCCUCUUGUCUUUCAGCUCACCCUUUUUCCUUACUCUUCAAUUGGUUUAUUCCACCAAUAUCUUGUCAGCAGCCAUCAUAAAAAAAGUUUUCUUAAGGUGCAGUGAUUAAAUUUUCUUUUUUUAUUCCUUGCUAAUUGAGACCCUAUCUAGACAACAUCUUUCCAGAUACA
rnacentral:lncRNA from 1 species